rnacentral:rRNA from 1 species
GACGAACGCUGGCGGCGCGCUUAGCACAUGCAAGUCGGGCGAGAACCAGGGCUUCGGCCCUGGGGACAGCGGCGAACGGGUGAGUAACACGUGGGUAAUCCACCCUCGGCACCGGAAUAGCCCGGGGAAACCCGGAUUAAUGCCGGAUGGCCCGCCGGCCCUGCGGGGCUGGCGGAAAAGGUAGCUUCGGCCUCCGGCCGAGGACGAGCCCGCGACGGAUUAGCUUGUUGGUGGGGUAACGGCCUACCAAGGCUGCGAUCCGUAGCUGGUCUGAGAGGACGAUCAGCCACACUGGGACUGAGACACGGCCCAGACUCCUACGGGAGGCAGCAGUGGGGAAUCUUGCGCAAUGGGCGAAAGCCUGACGCAGCGACGCCGCGUGAGGGAAGAAGGCCUUCGGGUUGUAAACCUCUUUCAGGAGGGACGAAGCCACUCGGGUUAAUAGCCCAGAGGGUGACGGUACCUCCAGAAGAAGCCCCGGCUAACUACGUGCCAGCCGCCGCCGUAAGAC